UACGAACGGUGCAAGCGUUACUCGGAAUCACUGGGCGUAAAGCGCACGUAGGCGGACUUACAGGUCAAUUGUGAAAUACCUGGGCUCAACCCAGGAACUGCAGUUGAAACCGUUUGUCUUGAAUACCUGAGAGGGUGGGGGAAUACCUGGUGGAGAAGUGAAAUUCGUAGAGAUCAGGUGGAACACCGGAGGCGAAGGCGCCUGCCUGGCAGUGUAUUGACGCUGAGGUGCGAAAGUGCGGGGAGCAAACAGG
rnacentral:rRNA from 1 species